AUAGGUUAGAACCAUCGAUUGCCGAUGGCCUAAUUGUAUUUGAAUUUUUAACAAUAGGAUAAUGAAUUAGACAAAGAAAUAAUAAGGAUCCCAUUGUCGCAAAUUUACAGGCUAUGUAUUUAAACAAUUAUGCUACAAUGCUUUCACUUUGGCGCAACAGCUCACAUUUUGAAACAGCAAUUGUGAAAUCCAUGAACAAGUCGUAGCUAUUGAAAAACAUUAUCCUAAGUGCCUACGUAUAAUGAGGUAAUGCCUUUUGCUGUCCCUCGAGAACACUGGGUCAUUACAGAAAUGUUCUCACCUGCACGUCUCUAGCAGGGUAGCAUUUAUAUCGCCAUGGUAACGACGGAACCCGAAGCCCAGCGGGUUUUCAGUAACACGUCAUCACGUUGGACUAGUUACCCCAUUCUCAAAUGCUGCGGGGUGACAUGAAGGUUCUCAAUGCCAAACAAGGUUAAUAAUCACCGACCACCUGAUUUCCAGUCAAGGAUUACCUCCUGCAUCUAAGCUGCUAAGGAAAUUGGCACACUAUACAAAGGAGAGUAAACACAUCACAUUCACUAUGGACGGAUAAUGUGUCAAAAAAAACCAACAAAAAAAAACAACAACAA